GGCGUGGUAGCUCAGUUGGUUAGAGCGCAGGAUUCAUAACCCUGAGGUCGGGAGUUCAAAUCUCCCUCACGCUA
rnacentral:tRNA from 2 species